GCCAUGGCUCAGUGGUAGAGAAUUUGCUUGGCAUGCAGAACGCCCCAGGUUCAACUCCCAGCAAGCA
rnacentral:tRNA from 1 species